GCGAGAGUGGCGGAAUUUGGCAGACGCGCUGGAUUUAGGAUCCAGUCGGAUAACUCCGGUGGGGGUUCGAGUCCCCCCUUUCGCA
rnacentral:tRNA from 1 species